GGGGAUAUGGCGAAAUCGGUAGACGCUGCGGACUUAAAAUCCGUUGAUUAGGUAAAUCAUGAGGGUUCAAGUCCCUCUAUCCCCAC
rnacentral:tRNA from 1 species